rnacentral:rRNA from 1 species
UACGUAGGGGGCUAGCGUUGUCCGGAAUCAUUGGGCGUAAAGCGCGUGUAGGCGGUUCGGUAAGUCCGCUGUGAAAGUCGGGGGCUCAACCCUCGAAAGCCCGGUGGAUACUGUCGGGCUAGAGUACGGAAGAGGCGAGUGGAAUUCCUGGUGUAGCGGUGAAAUGCGCAGAUAUCAGGAGGAACACCGGUGGCGAAGGCGGGU